GACGAACGCUGGCGGCGUGCUUAACACAUGCAAGUCGAACGGAAAGGCACUGCUUUUGUGGGGUGCUCGAGUGGCGAACGGGUGAGUAACACGUGAGUAACCUGCCCUUGACUUUGGGAUAACUUCAGGGAACUGGGGCUAAUACCGGAUAGGAGCUCCUGCUGCAUGGUGGGGGUUGGAAAGUUUCGGCGGUUGGGGUUGGACUCGCGGCUUAUCAGCUUGUUGGUGGGGUAGUGGCUUACCAAGGCUUUGACGGGUAGCCGGCCUGAGAGGGUGACCGGCCACAUUGGGACUGAGAUACGGCCCAGACUCCUACGGGAGGCAGCAGUGGGGAAUAUUGCACAAUGGGCGGAAGCCUGAUGCAGCAACGCCGCGUUCGGGAUGACGGCCUUCGGGUUGUAAACCGCUUUCGCCUGUGACGAAGCGUGAGUGACGGUAAUGGGUAAAGAAGCACCGGCUAACUACGUG
rnacentral:rRNA from 1 species